UACGAAGGGGGCUAGCGUUGCUCGGAAUCAUUGGGCGUAAAGAGCGUGUAGGCGGUCCGGUAAGUCCGCUGUGAAAGUCGGGGGCUCAACCCUCGAAUGCCGGUGGAUACUGUCGGGCUAGAGUGCGGAAGAGGCGAGUGGAAUUCCUGGUGUAGCGGUGAAAUGCGCAGAUAUCAGGAGGAACACCUAUUGCGAAGGCAGCUCGCUGGGACGUAACUGACGCUGAGACGCGAAAGCGUGGGGAGCGAACAGG
rnacentral:rRNA from 1 species